AUGUCCUCUGAAGUCAUGCUUCUUCUCAGACAGGUCAAUUUGUUGAACUGGAGCAAGCUUUUCCAUUGCCUCACCAAGAGAAGAUUCCAAUCAUGGAGCUCUUCACUCCUGGGUGGGAGAAAGAGGAAACAGUCAGAAGGGGCCUCUAUGUUGAGAAAUGGAAGCACAAGGAAGAUGAAGUUACUUGUCCAAUGUCACACAUUGAGUCAUCUAUGGGACAAGAAUUACAGACCAGACCUUCUGACCUUCACGACUCUGUCAAUACAACUUCAUUACUUCUUAGCUCAAUUGCUGGUAUGUAAAUGUCCACCUCUGGCAAAGACAACAGAAACCACCUGAGAACAACCAUUUGGGAAAAUCUUUUUAGAAUGUAAAUCCACCUGAGAGGCCCUGGCAAAAGCAUGUGAUAAGCCUGCUGCUGCUGCUGCUGCUGCUGCUAAGUUGCUUCAGUCGUGUCCAACUCUGUGUGACCCCAUAGACACCAGCCCCCUAGGCUCCCCCGUCCCUGGGAUUCUCCAGGCAAGAACACUGGAGUGGGUUGCCAUUUCUUUCUCCAAUGCAUGAAAGUGAAAAGUGAAAGGGAAGAAGCCUGGACAUAUACAAAGUCUCAGCAAGGAGCUUCAAACUUGUCAGGAAAAUGAGAAGUGAAGCAGGACUCAUUCAUGUAAGAGAAGAGGUAAAAAGAUGAUUUAUCACCAGGCUACUUGGAAAAAAAUACUGCAAAAAACAGAAAUAGCCAGUUAAGCACUGAUGAUUUUUGUGCCAGUGUGGUAGCUCAGCUGGUAAAGAAUCUGCCUGCAAUGCAGGAGACCCUGGUUCGAUCCCUGGGUUGGG
rnacentral:lncRNA from 1 species